rnacentral:rRNA from 1 species
UACGAACUGCGCGAACGUUAUUCGGAAUCACUGGGCUUACAGGGUGCGUAGGUGGCAGAGAAAGUAGGGUGUGAAAUGCCUUGGCUCAACCAAGGCACAGCGCUCUAAACUCCUUUGCUUGAGUGAGUCAGGGGUGCACGGAACUUCCGGUGGAGCGGUGAAAUGUGUUGAUAUCGGAAGGAACACCGGCAGCGAAAGCGGUGCACUGGGGCUUAACUGACACUGAGGCACGAAGGCGUGGGGAGCGAACAGG